GCCGGCGAGCGGCGGACGGGUGAGUAAUGCCUAGGAAUCUGCCUGGUAGUGGGGGAUAACUCGGGGAAACUCGAGCUAAUACCGCAUACGUCCUACGGGAGAAAGCGGGGGAUCUUCGGACCUCGCGCUACCAGAUGAGCCUAGGUCGGAUUAGCUAGUUGGUGAGGUAAAGGCUCACCAAGGCGACGAUCCGUAGCUGGUCUGAGAGGAUGAUCAGCCACACUGGAACUGAGGCACGGUCCAGACUCCUACGGGAGGCAGCAGUGGGGAAUAUUGGACAAUGGGCGAAAGCCUGAUCCAGCCAUGCCGCGUGUGUGAAGAAGGUCUUCGGAUUGUAAAGCACUUUAAGUUGGGAGGAAGGGCAGUAAGCUAAUACCUUGCUGUUUUGACGUUACCGACAGAAUAAGCACCGGCUAACUUCGUGCCAGCAGCCGCGGUAAUACGAAGGGUGCAAGCGUUAAUCGGAAUUACUGGGCGUAAAGCGCGCGUAGGUGGUUUGAUAAGUUGGAUGUGAAAGCCCCGGGCUCAACCUGGGAAUUGCAUCCAAAACUGUCUGACUAGAGUAUGGCAGAGGGUGGUGGAAUUUCCUGUGUAGCGGUGAAAUGCGUAGAUAUAGGAAGGAACACCAGUGGCGAAGGCGACCACCUGGGCUAAUACUGACACUGAGGUGCGAAAGCGUGGGGAGCAAACAGGAUUAGAUACCCUGGUAGUCCACGCCGUAAACGAUGUCGACUAGCCGUUGGGAUCCUUGAGAUCUUAGUGGCGCAGCUAACGCAUUAAGUCGACCGCCUGGGGAGUAC
rnacentral:rRNA from 1 species